CCUACGGGUGGCUGCAGUGGGGAAUAUUGCACAAUGGGCGAAACCCUGAUGCAGCGACGUCGCGUGAGUGAUGAAGUAUUUCGGUAUGUUAAGCUCUAUUUGUAGGGGAGAAAAUGACGGUACCUGAUUAAGAAGCCCCGGCUAACUACGUGCCAGCAGCCGCGGUAACACGUAGGGGGCAAGCGUUAUCCGGAUUUACUGGGUGUAAAGGGAGCGUAGACGGGAGCACAAGUCUGGAGUGAAAGGCCCGGGUUUAACCCCGGAACUGCUGUGGAAACUGUGCAGCUAGAGUGCAGGAGAGGUAAGCGGAAUGCCUGGUGUAGCGGUGAAAUGCGUAGAUAUUAGGAAGAACUCCAAUGGCGAAGGCGGCUUACUGGACUGUAACUGACGUUGAGGCUCGAAAGCGCGGGUAUCAAACAUGAUUAGAUACCCUUGUAGUC
rnacentral:rRNA from 1 species